rnacentral:sRNA from 1 species
UGCAUCUGCAGCCCAUGAGGAUGAGAACCUCCGGGGGCAGGGAGGUUCGACUCGAGCGAAGCGAGAGAACGUUGCGCCAGCAACGGCCCGCAGGGCGAGCCACG